AUUGAACGCUGGCGGCAUGCUUUACACAUGCAAGUCGAACGGCAGCGCGGGCUUCGGCCUGGCGGCGAGUGGCGAACGGGUGAGUAAUACAUCGGAACGUGCCCAGUAGUGGGGGAUAGCUCGGCGAAAGCCGGAUUAAUACCGCAUACGACCUGAGGGUGAAAGCGGGGGAUCUUCGGACCUCGCGCUAUUGGAGCGGCCGAUGGCAGAUCAGCUAGUUGGUGGGGUAAAGGCCUACCAAGGCGACGAUCUGUAGCUGGUCUGAGAGGACGACCAGCCACACUGGGACUGAGACACGGCCCAGACUCCUACGGGAGGCAGCAGUGGGGAAUUUUGGACAAUGGGCGAAAGCCUGAUCCAGCAAUGCCGCGUGUGUGAUGAAGGCCUUCGGGUUGUAAAGCACUUUUGGCGGGAACGAAAAGGACUGUGCCAAUACCACGGUUCGAUGACGGUACCCGCAGAAUAAGCACCGGCUAACUACGUG
rnacentral:rRNA from 1 species